GGCGCUCAUGGCUUAUUUUUCAAAAAUUUUAUUAGUCUUUUCAAAAGAUCAUUGCUAUGGCUUGAAUGUUCCUUCCAAAACUCAUGUUGAAAUUUAAUCAUUGUAACAGUGUUGAGAGGUGAGACAUUUAAGAGGUGAUUAGGUCAUGAGGGUUCUGCCCUCAUAAAUGGAUUAAUGCCUUCAUCUCGAGCGUGGGUUGGUUAUCACGAGAGUGGGCUCCUGUUACCAUGCGGCAAGAAGACCCUCACUAGAUGCCGACACCAUGCUUUUGGACUUUCUAGCCUCCAGAACCAUGAGCCAAAUAAGUCUCUUUUCUUUAUAAAUUACCCAGACUGUGGUAUUCUGUUGCAGCAACAGUAAACAAAGACAACCAGUUUUUGAAUUUGUUAAAGCCUCUCUAUUGUACUUUUAACUUCACUGAUUUCUUACCUUUCUCAUUUCCUUUCUUCUGAUUUAUUUGGGUUUAUCAUGCUAUUUUUUUUGUAAGUACUUAACUCACUAAUUUUAUUUUAUUUUUCUCCCCCCCACCCCCGACACAGGUCUCCCUCUUUUGCCCAGGCUGGAGUGCAGUGGCACUACCAAGGCUCACUGCAGCCUCAACCUCUCCAGACCCAGAGAUGUGGUCUCACUAUGUUGCUCGGGCUAAUCUCAAACUGCUGGCCUCAAGUGAUCCUCUUGUCUCAGCCUCUCAAACUGCUGGGAUUACAGGAAGCUGUUGAGACUUAUUAUUAAGUGAUUCUCUAUCCUUGAUAUAUUCACUUCAUCCAUUUCAAUGCCAUUUAUAUAUUUAUGGAGUUUCAAAUUCUAUUAAUACCUAGACAUGGGUGCCCAGCACCACACCCUGGCCCACUGGAGGAGAUUACAGCCAGCAAGUGCAGUUCCACAACUCCAUCAAGUUCCUGCUGCUCCACCGCGUCCUGCACCAUCAGCACAAGCCAUGCUUCACUACCAAGAGGACCAACACCUUCUGCUAGUUGCAGGGGCCUCUCACCCCAGUGUGCCCCACAUAAACUCGGGUACGCCAAGAAAGAAAAAGAGAAAGGAAGGAAGAAAGAGAGAGAGAAUGAGAGAGAGAGAGAGAGAAAGAGAGAGAGACAGAAAGAAAGAAAGAAAAUCAGUAAAUUUGAAGAUCAAUAGAGAUUAUGCAAUCUUAAGAACAGAGUGAGAAAAAGAAUGAAGAAAAAUUAACAGCUUCACAGAAAUCUGGGACACCAUUAACCACACACCAAUAUACAUGUAAUGGGAAUACUAGAAAAAGAAAAGUAGAAAGGAGAAGAGAAAAUAUUUGAAGAAAGAAUGAUUGAAAACCACAAAACAUUGCUGAAAUAAAUUAAAGAAGGCUUAAAUAAAAGGAGACAUCCCAUAUUCUGAGAUCAGAGAAGUUUACAGCAUGAGCUCAGAAGAUCAGACUGCCUAGGCUCAAUCCUGACUCUUAGGUAAGUUACCUAACUUCUUUGGGCUUUGGUUUUCUCAUUUGUGAAAUGAGGAUAAGAAGUCCUAUAUUAUAGAGUUGUUCAUGGAUUGAAUGGCUCAAUAUACAUAUAAAGCACUUAGAACAGUGCCUGUCACAUGGUGUGUGUUUAAUGCUUUUUAACUAUCCUGAAAUUGUGAAAGACAAUUUGGCAGAGUGUAUGAAUCUUCAGUUACAAUCUUUUUCUCCAGAAAGUCCAGCUGUUGCUCCAUUUUCUUCUGAAAGCUAAUGUUGCAGAGAAUUCUGAAACCAAAGAGGCUCUGUUUCCUUAGAGCAGGGUGGUUAAGAGUCUGGGGUUGGACUGCCUUGGUAUGAGUCCUGGCUCUCCCAUUUACUGGAUGUGUGACCUUGGGCCAGUUGAUCUCUCCUGUAAUGUGGGGCAACUCAUAGACCCUCCCUUUCGUGGACCCUUUGCAUUUGUUGGCCAAACCAUCCUUCCUCCCUUUUAGUUGUUUGGGUUUUUUUCACUCCAACCUUUUGAUUCAGGUGGGACUUCCAUUCAUAGCAGCUUCACCCCCUUACCAAUAUCUCACUGAAUUCUGUUGGCCACUGUGCUGGAUCUAAGUGUUGAGCAUGUACCCUGAAGACAACAGGAGUCCUUCUAUGGGCAAACCAGGUGGGAGACUCUUUCUUCCUUCUGGGGUUCCUGAGCUAGGAUUACGUGAACCUGGAGCUGCCUGGGCCUCACCUGGAAGCCUGUCUGCAGUAGGAGAGGCUCAGGCUACCACACAGAACCAACCGGAGCUGAGCAGCUGGAGAGCAGAGGCACCCCGACAACACGGGUUGAGUUCCUGCAUCCAGCCAACUUCCAGGCCGGCGCCGCCACUUUAUUGGGAUGCUGUGUGGUUUAAAUAAGAGAAUUCGUGUAAAGCACCAAGUAUGUGUCAGACACAAGGCAAGUCCUCAAGAAAAGAUGAUCUGUCUCCUCCUGUCAUAAUGAUUGUAGGAGUUUUUUUCCUUGUAGUUAAAAAUUGUUGGGCCUGGAGCAGUGGCUCACGCCUGUAAUCCCAGCACUUUGGGAGGCCAAGGUGGGAGGAUCACUUGAGGCCAGGAGUACGAACCCAGACUGGCCAAUAUGGUGAAACCCCGUCUCUUACUAAAAGUACAAAAAUUAGCCAGCCAUGGUGGCAUGUGCUUGUAGUCGCAGCUACUUGGGAGGCUGAGGCAAGAGAAUUGCUUGAACCUGGGAGGCAGAGGUUGCAGGGAGCCGAGAUGGCGCCAGUGCACUCCAGCCUGGGCCACAGAGCAAGACUCUGCUCAAAAAUAAAAAUAUAAAAAAAAAAUUGUUGCCAAAUGUGUGUACGUGUAGGUAGCUGAUUCUCCUGAAAUGUGGUAAAUUCCUUCAGUCUGCAGAUACUGAUCUUUCUUAAGCUUAGGAAAAUUGUUUCCAAAGCUCUUUCAUGAUUGCAUCUCUUGGCCAGGAACGGUAACUAUCUGUGUGUUGGUGCCGCAUUCUCUGUUCUCCGUAUCUGUCAUCUCUCUCAUAAUUUUCUCUCUCCUCCACCUCCGAAUGUGGGAAUUCCUCAGGGCUUGGCCUUGGUGAAAGUAUUAAUUAUGAGAGCAGUUGACUCCUUGUUCCACUCCAACCUUCCAUCCAAGGGCCGUCCAAGGGACAGAGGAGGAAUCUUAAGCCACCGCCUCCAGCCCAGCCCCUUCCCACAGGCCACCCGGGGGAAUGGGUUUCUGCCUCAUCCCGGUCCCUCAUUGUCUUUCUAGCAGUGGUGCUGGCAGGUGUGGGUGAUAUAGGACUUGAUGACACAGACUUUAUGCAAAGCCAGCGGGAAACACAACAGCUCUGCAGGAUCCCAGAGACCCCUGCUGUGCAGCCCAGCAGCUCCAAAGGCCGCACCUGAGAGCCUGUUGGAAACGCAGACUCUCAGGCCUUAUCCUGGACCCCUGAAUCAGAACGAGCAUUUCCACAACAUCUGUGGGUGAUUUGUGUGCACAUUAAAGUUUGCGAAGCUCUGCUCCAAGGUGCAGGCUCAGUUUAACCCUUUUUCAUAAUCCAUUUUUUGUCUACCCACAAAGUCAUUCUUUACGGUGAAAACCCCCACCUCCUCACCAGACGAGAUCAUGUAAUACUGACUCUCUUUACUAUUAAUACCUACUUCAUUUUUAUGUGAUAUUUUCCCUCAAUAUAAUGAUUUUAUUUUAUUAUUUUUUAUUUUUUCAAACUCAGAAAUUCUUAAGAACAAUGUAAUGUUAUUGCCAUAAAGUGGGAGCUCUGUUGCCAGGGCACUUUGAAGUUUUGUAUGCACAAUUCAGACUUCAUUGAAACUUUGAUUUUACUGUGUCCUUGGCUUGCCUUACCUUUUCGAGAAUUACAAAACUUUCCACAGUUCUGCCAGCUGCUUCUUCCUGUUUUGUUCUCAAUUUGGGAUGUUUAUUUCUUUUGCUUGAUGUCUGUAUGCUAAAAGAGAUAAAUAAGCAGAACACAUUGCGGUUCAUUCAAGCACAGGGCACGAUCCAAAUUCGUUCCAUAUGAUAGUCUCUGACUAGGAAUUCUUAUGUCCCUAUAAUUGGUGAGUAUAUUUUUGCACUAAGCUGUAAUGUUGAAUUAUCACUUCUUUUAGCAUAUUUAUUUAAAUGUAUGUUGGGGGUGAAAAGUCAUUAUGUCAUUAAAAAAAGGAGUCUUUGUUCAAAAGGUGAUAUAAGUUUCGAGAGCUGCUUUGGCAAAUGUUAACUGAAGGGUCAUUAUGUAAGGUAGUUGUGUAUUAUGUUAUAUGUUAUAUAUAUUGUAUAAACCCCAGUGAAAUUACAAAUAUAGUUUGUAGAGCGGUGCCAGUCAGUGAACUCUUUGUUAUCCAGCUGUGAUGAGAUAAAUACAGAAAUUGAGAGUGUUUAGAAACUUUCAUAACAUAUUUUUAUGUCUGCUGCCUUUAACAGUAAAAAUUUGGCUUUGUAUUUUAUA